rnacentral:rRNA from 1 species
UACGUAGGUGGCGAGCGUUGUCCGGAUUUACUGGGCGUAAAGCGCGCGUAGGUGGCUCUUUAAGUCCUGUCGUGAAAGGUUGCGGCCCAACUGCAACAGUGCGCGGGAUACUGAGGAGCUUGAGGGCAGCAGAGGUCGGUGGAAUUCCCGGUGGAGUGGUGAAAUGCGUAGAGAUCGGAAAGAACACCAACGGCGAAAGCACUCUGCUGGGCCGACACUGACACUGAGAGACGAAAGCUAGGGGAGCAAACGGG